UGAAAGGCUGAGGAGAAGGAUCGACCUGUCUGGAAGGUGGCGCGCGGCUACCCGGUUUGAGAAGCAUGGUUUUAAGGUCUUUUAUUUAUUCAGGUGACAUGGCAGACAGAAUAGUGGACCCCAGAAUGUCCAUGUUCUAACCCCUGAAACCUGUGAAUAUGUUACAUCGGCAAACAGAACUUUGCAGGUGUGAUUAAGCCAAGGAUUUUGAGAUGGGAAGACUAUCAUGGAUUAUCCCAGGGGGUCUAAUGUAAUCGUAACGAUCCUUAUAAAAGGGAGGCAAGAGGGUCCUCUCUGGGCUCAGACCUAGUUUGCAGUGACAUGGCUAAAAUGCCCCAAGAAGGUCAGAAUUGUCGGUAAAUACAGGAGCCAUUUGCCUCCCUCAGGAAAAUGGUGAAGAAAAUUGAAAUAAGCCAGCACUCCAAGUACGUUUGCUCCUUCUGUGGCAAAACAAGGAUGAAGACGUGGUGUAGGGACAGAGA